UACGUAGGGGGGCAAGCGUUGUCCGGAAUCAUUGGGCGUAAAGCGCGUGUAGGCGGCCCGGUAAGUCCGCUGUGAAAGUCGGGGGGCUCAACCCUCGAAUGCCGGUGGAUACUGUCGGGCUAGAGUGCGGGAGAGGCGAGUGGAAUUCCUGGUGUAGCGGUGAAAUGCGCAGAUAUCAGGAGGAACACCAAUUGCGAAGGCAGCUCGCUGGAACGUAACUGACGCUGGAGACGCGAAAGCGUGGGGAGCAAACAGG
rnacentral:rRNA from 1 species